UCACAUAACUACAGUAUCGAGAUGAUCACUGAUGAUUGAGUAGAAAUCUAUGUUAUCUCUCGUAUGGUCACGUUCAGUACUAGUUGUUCUCUAACAACUACUGGCACCUAUCGCUCAGUAUCUCUACACUAUGGACUAGAGACUUAUCUAUCAUAAAGAAAGUGAUCUGUAUGCUGGUCUAUCUGGAUCGAUCACUGUUCUCAUGAUGGUACUA
rnacentral:lncRNA from 1 species